AUUGAACGCUGGCGGCAGGCCUAACACAUGCAAGUCGAACGGUAGCACAGAGAGCUUGCUCUCGGGUGACGAGUGGCGGACGGGUGAGUAAUGUCUGGGAAACUGCCUGAUGGAGGGGGAUAACUACUGGAAACGGUAGCUAAUACCGCAUAAUGUCGCAAGACCCAAGAGGGGGACCUUCGGGCCUCUUGCCAUCGGAUGUGUCCAGAUGGGAUUAGCUUGUAGGGGGGGUAACGGCUCACCUAGGCGACGAUCCCUAGCUGGUCUGAGAGGAUGACCAGCCACACUGGAACUGAGACACGGUCCAGACUCCUACGGGAGGCAGCAGUGGGGAAUAUUGCACAAUGGGCGCAAGCCUGAUGCAGCCAUGCCGCGUGUAUGAAGAAGGCCUUCGGGUUGUAAAGUACUUUCAGCGGGGAGGAAGGCAUUGUGGUUAAUAACCACAGUGAUUGACGUUACCCGCAGAAGAAGCACCGGCUAACUCCGUGCCAGCCGCCGCGGUAACAC
rnacentral:rRNA from 1 species